rnacentral:lncRNA from 1 species
AUGUCCCAGGGUGUCCCGGGGUGUUCCGAGGGUGUCCCAGGGUGUCCCGGGGUGUUCCAGGGUCUCCCGGGGGUGUCCCGAGGCUGUCCCGGUGUUCCGGGGUGUCCCAGGGUGUCCCGGGGGUGUCCCGAGGGUGUCCCGAGGGUGUCCCGGUGUCCCGGGGUGUCCCGGGGCUGUCCCGGUGUUCCGGGGUGUCCCAGGGUGUCCCAGGGUGUCCCGGGGGUGUCCCGAGGGUGUCCCGGGGGUGUCCCGGGGCUGUCCCGGUGUUCCGGGGUGUCCCAGGGUGUCCCGAGGGUGUCCCGAGGGUGUCCCGGGGGUGUCCCGGGGCUGUCCCGGUGUUCCGGGGUGUCCCAGGGUGUCCCGAGGGUGUUCCAGGGUGUCCCGGGGGUGUCCCGGGGGUGUCCCAGGAUGUCCCAGGGUGUCCCGAGGGUGUCCCAGGGUGUCCCGGGGUGUCCCGGGGUGCUCCAGGGUGUCCCGGGGGUGUCCCGAGGGUGUCCCGGGGGUGUCCCGGGGCUGUCCCGGUGUCCCGGGGUGUCCCAGGGUGUCCCGGGGCUGUCCCGGUGUCCCGGGGUGUCCCGGGGCUGUCCCGGUGUUCCGGGGUGUCCCAGGGUGUCCCGGGGCUGUCCCGGUGUCCCCCGGUGUCGCAGGAGGGGCUGGAGGAGGCGCGGCGGGCGCUGGCGGAGGCGCGGCGGGAGAAGGGAAUGCUGCGGGAGCAGCUGCGGGAGCAGCGGGAGCUGGGAAUGCUGCGGGAAUCGGGAAUGCUGCGGGAGCCGGGAAUGCUCCGGGAAUCGGGAAUGCUCCGGGAGCCGGGGAAGGCGCAGGAGCAGGGAAUGCCGCAGGAGCAGGGAAUGCUGCGGGAGCUGGGAAUGCCGCCCAACAGGGAACCCCAGGACCGGCAGCAGGAGGGCCCGCAGCAGCAGCAGCAGCAGGAAUCUCCCGGCCGGGCCGGGCUCCCGCAGCUCCCGGCGGGCUCGGCCGAGCAGCAGCUGCAGGAGGCUCGGAAGCGAAUCCAGGUGCUGCGGGCGCAGGUGUCGGCGCUGGAGCUCCGGGCCCGGCCGCUCCCCGAGGCGCCUCCGGAGCUGCAGCGGGAGCUGGAGCGGCUCCGGCUCGGCCGCGGGGACCUGGAGGAGCAGAUCGCGCUGCUCAAGGAGCAGGAGCUGCAGCGGCAUCCCCCCGGAACGUAGGGAAUUCCGGGAAUUCCGGGCCGUCCGCAGAGCUCGCGCAGCUCCGCUCAGGGCUGAGGGGAUCCAACCCCAUCCCAAAAUCCAGAGCAGAGCCCGGCACGGCUCAGCCCAGGGAGGAGGGGGAUCCAUCCCUCUCCCUGUGCUCCAAACCCACAGCGAUUGUUGCCUCCUCAUUCCCAUUUCUCCAGGAAAAAGCUGCACUUUUCCCACCAGACAACAAAAUUUGUCUAUUUUUGAUACAAUUUGGGACCCUGUGGAGGGUUUUCCCAUUGUCCUGAUGUAGUUUUUAAUGGAAUAGGGAAAUAUUCCCUUUUUUAAGGACCCAACCGAUCCCUUCCCCUCCCGCCUUCCCCUCACCACAUCCUCAUUUCCCCCCUUUUUCUAACAGAAAACUCCCUGGAUUUGUGUUUUUGGAGGAUUUUUUUAGGAACUAGCGGGAUUUUUAUACGGAUUCUUUGGGAAUCGGGGGUUUUCACUGGUGCUCCGAGGUUGGGAAAACCACGGGAAGGGAGGGGGUGGCUCCGGCCCCCGUCAGUCCCGGCGGGAAUAAACGUGGAUAAAUCCAGGCUGGAAGUUCGGAGGGAUUUUUUGGGGGAGGGGGGGGGUUGGCAAAAAUUUUGGGAGUGCCCAGAUUGGGGCUGAGUUGAAUUAGGUCCCUAAAUAAUAAUGAAAAAUAAGAAUCACUAAUAAGAACUAGACAAUAAUUAAUAACCAACAAUAAUCAUCAUUAAAUACGAAGGGCAAAGGAUAAGAAAUCAGAACAAAUAGCAAAUAAUGGUGAUCAUAAAGCUGCACCCUAUAGAUGAGAGAGGAGCUUCAGGGGGAAAUUCACCCUAUAGAGGGGAAAUUCACCCUAUAGAGGUGAAAUGCAUCCUAUAUAGGAGGGAACUUCACCCUAUAGAGGGGAAAUUCACGUUAUAGAGGGGAAAUUCACCCUAUAUAGGAGGGAAAAUCACCCUAUAGAGGGGAAAUGCCCCCUAUAGAUGAGAAAUUCACCUUAAAGAUGGGAAAUUCACCUUGUAGAGGGGAAAUACAUCCUGUAUAGGAGGGAAAUUCACCUUGUAGAGGGGAAAAUCCCCCUAUAGAGGGGAAAUUUACCCUAUAUAGGAAGGAAAUUCACCCUAUAGAGGGGAAAUUCACCUUAUAGAGGGGAAAUGUACCCUAUAGAUGAGAAAUGCACCCUAUAGAUGAGAAAUGCAUCCUAUAGAGGGGAAAAUCACCCUAUAGAGGGGAAAUACACCCUAUAGAUGGGAAACAGAGCCUAUAGAUGAGCCGCUCCCUGCAUAUGAGGGCUGUGCCCUAUAUAUGAGAGACGCCUAUGACCGAGGGGUCGUGAGUGUUGGGCACACCCCAUACACGAGGGAGGUACCCUAUAGACGGGCAGUACCCAGCACAGAGAUGCACCCUACAGGCGAGGGGGACAGGCUGUAGGUGAGUGACACCCUAUAGACGGGGGAAACACCCCACAGACAGGCGAUGCGGGCUGCGGGCACAGGCUGUGGGGGGGAGACGCACCCUAUAGGCGAGAGAUACACCCUAUAGGAGAGAGAUACACCCUAUAGGUGUGAGGUACACCCUAUAGGCGAGAGGUACACCCUAUAGGCGAGAGAUACACCCUAUAGGUGAGAGGUACACCCUAUAGGUGUGAGGUACACCCUAUAGGCGAGAGAUACACCCUAUAGGUGAGAGGUACACCCUAUAGGUGUGAGGUACACCCUAUAGGUGAGAGGUACACCCUAUAGGCGAGAGAUACACCCUAUAGGUGUGAGGUACACCCUAUAGGCGAGAGGUACACCCUAUAGGCGAGAGAUACACCCUAUAGGUGUGAGGUACACCCUAUAGGUGUGAGGUACACCCUAUAGGCGAGAGGUACACCCUAUAGGCGAGAGAUACACCCUAUAUACGAGAGAUACACCCUAUAGAUGAGAGGUACACCCUAUAUAGGAGAGGUACACCCUAUAGGUGAGAGAUACACCCUAUAUACGAGAGAUACACCCUAUAGGUGAGAGGUACACCCUAUAGGCGAGAGAUACACCCUAUAGGUGAGAGGUACACCCUAUAUAGGAGAGGUACACCCUAUAGGUGAGAGGUACACCCUAUAUAGGAGAGGUAAACCCUAUAGGUGAGAGGUACACCCUAUAUACGAGAGAUACACCCUAUAUAGGAGAGGUACACCCUAUAGGUGAGAGAUACACCCUAUAUACGAGAGAUACACCCUAUAGGUGAGAGGUACACCCUAUAUACGAGAGAUACACCCUAUAGGUGAGAGGUACACCCUAUAUAGGAGAGGUACACCCUAUAGGUGAGAGGUACACCCUAUAUAGGAGAGGUAAACCCUAUAGGUGAGAGGUACACCCUAUAUACGAGAGAUACACCCUAUAUAGGAGAGGUACACCCUAUAGGUGAGAGGUACACCCUAUAGGUGAGAGAUACACCCUAUAUACGAGAGAUACACCCUAUAUAGGAGAGGCGCACCCUAUAGACGAGAGAUACACCCUAUAGGCGAGAGGUACACCCUAUAGACGAGAUGUACACCCUAUAGGUGAGAGAUACACCCUAUAUAGGAGAGGUACACCCUAUAGGUGAGAGGUACACCCUAUAGGUGAGAGGUACACCCUAUAUAGGAGAGGUACACCCUAUAUACGAGAGGGACACCCUAUAGGUGAGAGGUACACCCUAUAUAGGAGAGGUACACCCUAUAGGUGAGAGGUACACCCUAUAUAGGAGAGGUACACCCUAUAUAGGAGAGGUACACCCUAUAGGUGAGAGGUACACCCUAUAGACGAGAUGUACACCCUAUAGGUGAGAGGUACACCCUAUAUAGGAGAGGUACACCCUAUAGGUGAGAGGUACACCCUAUAUACGAGAGGGACACCCUAUAGGUGAGAGGUACACCCUAUAUACAAGACAUACACCCUAUAAAUGAGAGCUGCACCCUAUGUGCGAGAGGCACACCCUGUAUACAAGAGGUACACCCUAUAGAUGAGACAUACACCCUAUAGACGAGAGGUACACCCUGUAGACAACAUGCAGGCAGUGUAAGGGAUACAUCCUGUAGAUGAGAGGUGCACCCUAUAUACCGGAGAUACAGGGUGUGUACCCCUACACACGUGGGCUGCACCCUGUACGUGAGGAACACACACUGCGUACAAGUGAUGCACUUUAUAUGUGGGAUACACCCUAUAGGCAAGGGCUGCACCCUAUAGCCGAGAGCUGCACCCUAUGGAUGAGAGCUGCACCCUAUAGCCGAGAGCUGCACCCUAUGGAUGAGAGCUGCACACCGUAUACAAGAGAUGCACCCUACAGAUGAGAGAUGCACCCUAUACACAAGAGAUGCACCCUGCAGACCAGCUCUGCACCCUAUAUAAAAAUGCAGCACCCCAUACACGAGAACUAAAUCCCAUAUGCAAGACAUACACCCUAUAUAAGAGCUACACACCACACACAAGAGCUCUAUGCUACAUCUGAGAGCUGCCCCUGUAUCCGAGAGCUGCCCCUAUAUCCGAGAGCUGCCCCUAUAUCUGAGAGCUGCCCCCUAUAUCUGAGACCUGCCCCUGUAUCCGAGAGCUGCCCCUGUAUCCGAGAGCUGCCCCUAUAUCCGAGAGCUGCCCCUGUAUCCGAGAGCUGCCCCUAUAUCUGAGAGCUGCCCCUGUAUCCGAGAGCUGCCCCUAUAUCCGAGAGCCGCCCCUAUAUCCGAGAGCUGCCCCUAUAUCCGAGAGCUGCCCCUGUAUCCGAGAGCCGCCCCUAUAUCUGAGAGCUGCCCCUGUAUCCGAGACCUGCCCCUAUAUCCGAGAGCUGCCCCUAUAUCCGAGAGCUGCCCCUGUAUCCGAGAGCUGCCCCUAUAUCCGAGAGCUGCCCCUAUAUCCGAGAGCCGCCCCUAUAUCCGAGAGCUGCCCCUAUAUCUGAGAGCUGCCCCUGUAUCCGAGAGCUGCCCCUAUAUCCGAGAGCUGCCCCUGUAUCCGAGAGCUGCCCCUAUAUCUGAGAGCUGCCCCCUAUAUCCGAGAGCUGCCCCUAUAUCCGAGAGCUGCCCCUGUAUCCGAGAGCUGCCCCUAUAUCUGAGAGCUGCCCCUAUAUCCGAGAGCUGCCCCUAUAUCUGAGAGCUGCCCCCUAUAUCCGAGACCUGCCCCUGUAUCCGAGAGCUGCCCCUAUAUCCGAGAGCUGCCCCUAUGUCCGAGAGCUGCCCCUGUAUCCGAGAGCUGCCCCUAUAUCCGAGAGCUGCCCCUGUAUCCGAGAGCUGCCCCUAUAUCCGAGAGCUGCCCCCUAUAUCCGAGAGCUGCCCCUGUAUCCGAGAGCUGCCCCUAUAUCCGAGAGCCGCCCCUAUAUCCGAGAGCCGCCCCUGUAUCUGAGAGCUGCCCCUAUAUCCGAGAGCCGCCCCUAUAUCCGAGAGCCGCCCCUAUAUCCGAGAGCUGCCCCUGUAUCCGAGAGCUGCCCCUAUAUCCGAGAGCUGCCCCCUAUAUCCGAGAGCUGCCCCUGUAUCUGAGAGCUGCCCCUAUAUCCGAGACCUGCCCCUGUAUCCGAGAGCUGCCCCUAUAUCCGAGAGCUGCCCCUAUAUCCGAGAGCUGCCCCUAUGAGAGCUGCCCCUAUAUCCGAGAGCUGCCCCUAUAUCCGAGAGCUGCCCCUAUAUCCGAGAGCC